rnacentral:rRNA from 1 species
ACGACUCUCGACAACGGAUAUCUAGGCUCUCGCAUCGAUGAAGAACGUAGCAAAAUGCGAUACUUGGUGUGAAUUGCAGAAUCCCGUGAAUCAUCGAGUUUUUGAACGCAAGUUGCGCCCAAAGCCAUUAGGCCGAGGGCACGUCUGCCUGGGUGUCAC